rnacentral:misc_RNA from 1 species
GGAGAAGCAGAUUACUAGACCAUCUGUGAAAAGGUGGCUCGAUGAUCUUAAGGAUGCUGUGUAUGAAGCCGAUGACCUGUUGGAUGAAAUUGCCUAUGAAGCUUUGCGAUCAGAGAUGGAAACUGCAGGCUCUGAAGCUACCACGACUCAGGUUCGGAAAUCCUUCUCUUCUUUUAGUUCAUUGGGAAUAGGGGUGCAAUCAGAAUUAGGAGAUAUUCAUGAAAGACUUGAAACGAUUCUUGAAAAGCUUGAAUAUUUAGUUAAACAAAAGGAAGCCCUUGGUCUGAGAGAGAAUAUUGGGGAAAAACCAUCUUGGCAUAAAAUACCAUCAACUUCUCUGGUUGAUGAGUCUGUUGUUUAUGGUAGGGAUGAUGAUA